UGGGGAAUCUUGCUCAAUGGGCGAAAGCCUGAAGCAGCGACGCCGCGUGUGGGAAGAAGGUCUUCGGAUUGUAAACCACUUUCGGGAGGGAAGAAGCGCAAGUGACGGUACCUCCAAAAGAAGGCCCGGCCAACUACGUGCCAGCAGCCGCGGUAAUACGUAGGGGCCUAGCGUUGUCCGGAAUUAUUGGGCGUAAAGAGCGUGUAGGCGGCCUGGUAAGUCUGUCGUGAAAUGCUGGGGCUCAACCCUGGACGUGCGAUGGAUACUGCUUGGCUAGAGGAUGGUAGAGGCGAGUGGAAUUCCCGGUGUAGCGGUGAAAUGCGCAGAUAUCGGGAGGAACACCAGUAGCGAAGGCGGCUCGCUGGGCCAUACCUGACGCUGAGACGCGAAAGCAUGGGGAGCGAACAGGAUUAGAUACCCGUGUAGUCC
rnacentral:rRNA from 1 species